rnacentral:rRNA from 1 species
GAUGAACGCUGGCGGCGUGCCUAAUACAUGCAAGUCGAGCGAACGGAUGAGAAGCUUGCUUCUCUGAUGUUAGCGGCGGACGGGUGAGUAACACGUGGAUAACCUACCUAUAAGACUGGGAUAACUUCGGGAAACCGGAGCUAAUACCGGAUAAUAUUUUGAACCGCAUGGUUCAAAAGUGAAAGACGGUCUUGCUGUCACUUAUAGCUGGAUCCGCGCUGCAUUAGCUAGUUGGUAAGGUAACGGCUUACCAAGGCAACGAUGCAUAGCCGACCUGAGAGGGUGAUCGGCCACACUGGAACUGAGACACGGUCCAGACUCCUACGGGAGGCAGCAGUAGGGAAUCUUCCGCAAUGGGCGAAAGCCUGACGGAGCAACGCCGCGUGAGUGAUGAAGGUCUUCGGAUCGUAAAACUCUGUUAUUAGGGAAGAACAUAUGUGUAAGUAACUGUGCACAUCUUGACGGUACCUAAUCAGAAAGCCACGGCUAACUACGUG